rnacentral:lncRNA from 1 species
AUAAGACAACUGUCCAUUUGCCAUAGUAAUCCAACUCAAUUAUGUCAGUAAGAUGUCUGAAAUAUUCCACAUUUCCCUCGACAGGAUUAUUGUCCCUAGCACUAGCAUAACUUGUAAUUGCAGAAUUAACAACUAUUCCACAAUUUUGCGUUCUCCUCAACCUCUCGCGAUAUUUUGUAUGAAAUAUGAAUCCGUUGAUGAGGAAUGCACUAUAUCUGAAUCCCUUGGUACUCCAACCGGAUAAAUUGGCAUAAGCGGGAAAGUCAUUAAUGGCCCAC